GAAAUGCGAUAAGUAAUGUGAAUUGCAGAAUUCAGUGAAUCAUCGAAUCUUUGAACGCACAUUGCGCUCGCCAGUAUUCUGGCGAGCAUGCCUGUUCGAGCGUCAUUUCAACCAUCAAGCUCUGCUUGAGUUGGGGAUCCGCGGCUGCCCGCGGUCCCUCAAAAACAGUGGCGGGCUCGCUAGUCACACCGAGCGUAGUAACUCUACAUCGCUAUGGUCGUGCGGCGGGUUCUUGCCGUAAAACCCACAAUUUCUAAGGUUGACCUCGGAUCAGGUAGGAAUACCCGCUGAACUUAAGC
rnacentral:misc_RNA from 1 species